rnacentral:tRNA from 1 species
GGGCGCAUGGCCAAGCCUGGAUAUGGCAGCAGCCUCCUAAGCUGAAGAUCGGGGGUUCAAAUCCCCCUGCGCCCG